CCUACGGGAGACAGCAGUGAGGAAUAUUGGUCAAUGGGCGCGAGCCUGAACCAGCCAAGUCGCGUGAGGGAGGACGGCCCUACGGGUUGUAAACCUCUUUUGCCGGGGAGCAACGGGCGUCACGUGUGGCGCCACGGAGAGUACCCGGAGAAAAAGCAUCGGCGAACUCCGUGCCAGCAGCCGCGGUAAUACGGAGGAUGCGAGCGUUAUCCGGAUUUAUUGGGUUGAAAGGGUGCGUAGGCGGAUCGUUAAGUCAGUGGUCAAAUUGAGGGGCUCAACCCCUUCCCGCCAUUGAAACUGGCGCUCUUGAGUGGAAGCGAGGUAUGCGGAAUGCCUGGUGUAGCGGU
rnacentral:rRNA from 1 species